CUACGGGUGGCUGCAGUGAGGAAUAUUGCACAAUGGGGGGAACCCUGAUGCAGCAACGCCGCGUGAAGGAUGACGCAUUUCGGUGUGUAAACUCCUUUUAUAUGUCAAGAAAAUGACGGUAGCAUAUGAAUAAGCACCGGCUAACUCCGUGCCAGCAGCCGCGGUAAUACGGAGGGUGCAAGCGUUACUCGGAAUCACUGGGCGUAAAGGACGCGUAGGCGGGUUGGAAAGUCAGGUGUGAAAUCCUACAGCUUAACUGUAGAACUGCACUUGAAACUUCUAAUCUAGAGUAUGGGAGGGGGAGAUGGAAUUAGUGGUGUAGGGGUAAAAUCCGUAGAUAUCACUAGGAAUACCUAAAGCGAAGGCGAUCUCCUGGAACAUUACUGACGCUAAGGCGUGAAAGCGUGGGGAGCAAACAAGAUUAGAUACCCCGGUAGUC
rnacentral:rRNA from 1 species